UGAAAGUCGUCUGAGCCUGCAUGCA
rnacentral:piRNA from 1 species